rnacentral:rRNA from 1 species
UACGUAGGGGGCAAGGCGUUGUCCGGAUUUAUUGGGCGUAAAGAGCAGUGUAGGCGGCCAGACAGGUCCGUUGUGAAAACUAGAGGCUUAAACCUCGUAGACGUCGAUGGGAACCGUCUGGCUAGAGUCCGGAAGAGGAGAAUGGAAUUCCUGGUGUAGCGGUGGAAAUGCGCAGAUAUCAGGAAGAACACCCGUGGCUAAGGCGGUUCUCUAGUACGGUACUGACGCUGAGACGCGAAAGCGUGGGGAGCGAACAGG